CCUCAGACUGCGUGACUGUUUCCAUUAACAGCUUGGAAAUAAGAUCUUGUUUUUCUCUGAGGAAAAACAAAUAAUUCCUGAUAUCAUUCCCAGCCUAAAUGCAACUGCAUGGAUCUUCUUGUGAAUUUUCCCACCAUGUCUGUAGCCAGGCCUGGAGCAGGACUUGCAGCCAACUGUGCAAGCUGACCACAGCACCACACAUCAUGGACGACGCUUUUUCAGCUUGCAGCAGGCUGCUUUGCAUUUGUUGGAGUUAAUAGCAACUGUGCCCACCUUAUGGGUUGAACAGCUGCCAGCACACCUGUAUGGAAAGCCCUAGAAAUGGCUCACUUGCAUGUUUGUUUUUUUUUUGUUGGCUUUGAGCAAAAUUCUGAGCCCUUCAAAAGGACGUGGAGUAAGUUUUUCAUACACACAUUUCAUACAGAUGAGUCUCUUCUGUCUCUAAGGGCAACUGUUUCAAUCUUACUGCUCCCAAAAUGUUCAGACAAGGCCAGCCUGAGAAAAAACUCCAACAUCACAAAAAUCCAGACUUAACAAAAUGUGCAAAUGCUGUGGCCAAGCUCUGUUUGUAAGGAAAGAUUUGGACAAAAGGCUCGUUCCCUUCCCCUCUGCCCAGGAAAAGGAUCAAUGACAGAGGUAAUUAAGAGAUAUUUUGGUUUUUCCUGUAUGUCCAGCCUUGGAUCUGUUAGCAUCAGAGGUUUUUCUUCCUGCAUUCACACCCUCUGGCUGACAAAUUGGCAUGCAUCAUUGCAGAGGAGCAAGCAGCUCUUGCUGGUGCAGACCUGAGCAUGGUGAUGGGGCGAUGGGGCUGGGCCACUCUGGGGCCUUCACUCGCAUGCAGUUGCAGCUGUGGGUGGGGAAAAUCCAUUUCACACAAUGUGGCAAUGACAGGAGAGAUCUCAACAUGCUCCCAGCUGUUUGUUGGUUAUCAGGUCCAUCAGGCCCCAGUGUGGGACUGCAAUGUGUUGAACACCAGUUGGACAAUAGCAGCCAAGGCCUUGCCAUGAGGUCGCCAUGGGGAUCAGCAUCAGUGAGACCACUUCUUUCUGGAAAUAUUUCCUUUCCUAAAGUGCUUUGAAGGAGAAGAUCUGGUGGCAUUCCCCAGAGACCAAGAGGUCAACAGGUGGCACCGAGUGAAGACUGGAGAGACAAAGUUUAUCUGCUCUCCAGAGAAGCCUGUUAAAUAAGGUGUUUUGUGCGGGGAAGAGCACCACAAGAGGAUGCAGAGAGCGCAUGGAGGGAGAAAAGAAGUAAAGAAACAGCAGAGAGCGUAAGGAGGUCUGAAGGGGUUGAAAUGUCAGGAAGAAAUGACGUUUUUCUGCAGAGAGAAAAGCAAGAGCUGUGCUGAGUGCAGGAUGGGUCCCCUUAAAGCAGCCCCUCUACCUUCUGAGGGUGGUUUGGCUCAAGUCCUCAGCAGCAUUGCUCUUGCUUAAUGUGAAACUUGGAAGCAACCCUGGGUAAACAAGCCAGGCUAAUAUUUUACAGGCUGAUCGUAACUACUUGAAGGAGAAGUAUUGGAUCCAUCCUAUGCAAUCCAGGAUAUACCAAGACCAACUUUUUCACCUGGAAAUGAUGCUUCUCUGGAACUUGUUGAGAGAAUAUGUCUGUUUCAACUAUAGGAUCAGCAGAAACCUUCAUAGGAUUGUAAAAGGGAAUCAGGCCUCAGUUUAAAUGGGAAUCAAGCCUUUGGAAAUGCAGGCAUCAGUACAAUCUCAGCGCACCACAACAGUGUGCAUCAGCCACACUCAGAAAUGAAUGGGAGCCAGCAGCUGCAGGAUUUGUUUGCAUCCACAACUACCAUAUAUUAAAAAAUAAACAAGAAGUGAAAAAGUCUAAAAAGUGUCAUCUAAUGACAGAGACUCUAUCAGUAAGGCUGACUUGUCUCAGAGUAAUAACAAGUAUCUUUUAGGUGUGAAUAUCCAAAAUGCAGUAGUUGCUAUUGUGUUAAGCUCAUCUCAUCUUGUGGCUGGUGUUGAAGAGGAGCUCUGUUUUUCCCAGGUCCCCUUCCCACUCUACUGAGUUUUGUGGCUAAUUCUGGUCAAACUCCUUGCACCGAGUCCCCACACUGUUGCUGUCAUUUCAAUGUGCAGCCAACUCUUUGCAUCACCUGCACUUCUACAAAGAGUGAUACUGGAAAUGGCAGAUGUUUGCUUGUAACUGCGUGCCCAGAGGUCCAAAAGCUGACAAAAUAUGGGAGUUACUAUAGAUCUUGCUACCAAGCCUGUCUUCUGCAUGAUUUAUCACGUGGCAGCUGUGGAAAGCUAAGACCAUGAAGAAACUCUGGUUUGAUAAAGUGUUGGUAUGAAGAAUAGGUCUUACGAUGUUUGUAGAAGAGUGUCAUGUCUUAAAAAUGUUGUGGCAGCCCAAGAAUUUGCUUCAGUUGCAAUCAUAAGAAUCCCUUUGGUUAUGAGCACUAAUGGUUUGGCAUGGGGAGCAAAGCCAAAACAGCAUUCAAAUAGCCUUUUGAAUAGCAACAGGUUAGGAAUAAAACCAGAUUACGGAUAAGGAGGGAAAAAAAACAUAAGGCCAAGAAGAAAGUGGUGGAAAUCAUUUGAGGGACCCAGCAAAGGAAAUUUCAUUUUAGCAUAAUGUCUCUUCUUGGUGUGGAGGUUGUAUGAUGGGACUACAACUGAUACGUGCUGUUGUUGCAGGCAUAUAACUGCCUGUAGACUAUGAAAAUAAUUGUUUUCGAGUUUCAUUUCUAACUCCUUUUCACUGAGAGAAUAUUGUUUCCUGCUUUAAAAAAAAAAAAAAAAAUGUUAGUGAGGACAGAGGUUUUGUGUUGGAACUUUAGUCUUGUAUCACUCAGUAGCUACAUACUUCUGUCUAUGGGUCUUGACUGCACCAGACUGAAGUAAGUAUCAAAACAAAAGUUCACAGCAUAUACUGUACAGGCAGACACCCGAAGCUCCUUGUUCUCUAUGACUUCCACAGAUGUGCAGUUCUUGUCUUCCCUUCAAGCUCAGCAGCAUUUCAAAAUCACAUGCUCCUGUCUGGUCUGGUCCCUUUGAGAUACCAGUUUAGAAUUCCUUUCAAAUAUCUCAUUUAACACUAAGUUCCCCCAAAAGACAAAAGAUGUUGCUUCUCGGAGGAAACAGGUUUUCUUCAGGGAACUCUAUGGCUGUUGUUACUACCUUUCCUCCCACACAUCCUUCCCAACACCAUAUUUCUUAGAACAUUUUAAGGGGCCUGAAAUACUAGUUUCCACUUUGACAUACUCUGAAAAAAACCCAGUGCUAUUAAUCUUCAUUCAUGAAUAAUGAGUUCAUGAGACCCAUAGGGACGUUCCACAUGAAAAUAUCUGAUUUCUAGAAAAGCUGAUUUUGGAACAUUUUUCUUCCUCUUUUGUACACAGUUAAAGCUUAUACAUGUUAAAAUUUGAUACAAACUCUGAGGAUCUAGAGUAAGGUAUCAACUGGUAGUGGAAAAACUGUUUGCUGCCAUGGACAAGAUCUGAUAUAUAUAAAGUGGGUGAAAUCCACAGAUAAUUUAAUCAAAUAUGUGUUGUUCAUAGUUUCCACUGGGUUUUUAUGACUGAAGUAGCACCACACCUCAGAAGUGAAAAAGCUUGGAAAUUUGUUAUUACCUGUCCUCACACAUUCUUUUUAAAAGACGUUGUGCCAGCCUCACAAUCUUCCAUAGCAUCUUCAUGAAAGAAUUAUUGUUGGGGUUUGCAAAUAAUUACAUGGCAAAUUAUUUCAGCAAAAUAAUUUUAUUAUACUCUCUAAGAAAAAAAAAAAAAAAAGGAAUUUAAUGUUCCAUCAGAAAGUUCAUGGUCUCUACUGCACAUGUUUAGCAGGAUUCUUUCUAUUUUCAGUGUGCUCACGGUGCCCACAAAGCACCAGACCUUAACUCAGGCAUAAUCCAAGACCUCCUGCAGGCAGUUUCAAUGCUCCCUGAACUCAAAAAUCCAUAUUUCAAUAUGUUUUUUUCAACAUGAUGCUUUGCGAAAGCGAGGUGAGCAUUGCAGACCUGUGAGAGAUGGGAUGGACUUUGCUUGCAGAGCAGGGCUCUGUUCUCAAAUGGAGAUGUUGUGUAAAGUGGUUGGCUUUUUGGUAUCUUUCACCAGUUGUAAUGUAAAUUGAACAUCACAUUUGUUUUGGUAGAAAGACAAAUAUGUGAACAGCUCCGGGCUACUCUAAGGGCUUCUGAAACUGCUAUUGCUCCAGGGGGAGUACAUGAGUGAGGAAGACUUCAGAACUGUUUGUAAAAGUUAUGACAAAGGAAAAAGUAUUUUAUUCUUGGUCCUGAAGUGGUCUGUGCUGCUUCCUUCCUCUCCUUCUCCCUCUCAAUAAGGUUUAUGGUGCCUAAACACAGAUGACGCUCUCAUUUGGUGCCAGCAGUCACCAUUCUAUGUAAAUUAAUUAUGCUUUUAUUAUGUUGUAUAGUUAUCGAUUUUUUUAACUUCAAAAUAGUUAUUCCUGAAAAAUCUAUUGCUAACUAAUAACCAUGGAUUUCUUUUUCAAAUGUUAGAAAAUGAGAACUGGCCACAAAUCAAAUGCACCAGCUUUUAUCUGAAAAUGCCUCUACUCUGAAAAGAGUUGAUGCUUUAUUCCAAAUGUAGGCUUGUCACCAUAGAGAUAAGACGAAUUCAAGGAUUUAAGACUUACCAGAAAAUAUUAUGUACCAUGUUUGUGAUAAAGCUUUGCUUGCUUAAAACAGCAAUGGAAGCUGACACUGUAAAACAGCAUCUAACAAAGAAAGACUGACAGAAACAAAGAAAGGAUUCACAUUCUUUACAAAAAAGCUAUCUGUUUGUAAGAAAGAAGGGUGUAAGUAAUGAAGCUCUCAGACCUCUUAAACAGCUAUAGUUGCUGUGUACUUUAGUGACUCAGUCACGUAAGUAUUCUUUCUGGGUAUUCUCCCUCUGUUUCUCCCUUUCAAAAAUAAAUGUUCUGUUUUGAUUUGGUUUAUUUUACUCCCUAAGAUUUUAAAAUUCUAUCUGAUCUUUUUUUUUUUUUUUUUACAUCCAGAAAGAAACCUUAUCAAUUCUUUUUGUUGAAAUAUAAUGUAUUCUUUGAUAUGUUUUUUUUGGGGGGGGGGACAUAAUAGUCCCUCUAUUCCUAUGAAUUAUGUUAUUGCUCCCAGCUUUGGGCUAAUUAUCCCAAAAGACAACUAUCUUGCAUGGAUCCUAAAUAUUUGGACAAUUUGCUCCCUCUCAUUACCCAGGAAAGAACAGCCAGAGUUUUCAUGCCUUGCUAACUGAAAUGCUGCUGAAACUGUGACAUGGGAUACUGAAGCAUAUUGA